GGGAUAUCCAUGAUGGUUCCUUUUAGGACCUGGCGGAAGUCCCUGCUGUGACCUCCCGCAGGUUCCGCGCUCUCUCUCAAAGCGCAGCGUCCCCAUCAGCUGUUGGAGCUGCGUGCGUGUGUGCUGCGGUGCUGUGCCACUGGAGCUGGCGACGCUUUUUCCACCUCGUUAUCCCAGAACAGCCCGUGGAGCUUUACCACUCCAUACCAGGGAAAGAAGAAACGAAGAUGAGGUGUUCUUCAUGGCUGGAGCGCCUCGUCUGCUGCCUCCUUCUCCUUCUCAGCCCCGCGGCAUCGCAAUGGACAGGAGCCUGAAUGUACCUGCCCAAUGCAGCACCAGUCUUGUAUGGGAAUAGUGGAGUCAUGGUUGCAGAUUGCCAGUUUUACGUUGCAGCAACACGCUGUCAGUUACUAUAUGAUGCUAAACUUCUGCUGUAUGUUGAACAGGAGGUUUGCUCACUCUUUUUCUUUGGCUUGGAUGGCAUUGGUUCACUGCUUUAGGACUACAGCAACCUGUAUGUACUGAGCAUGGCUGCUGCAAAAUUAUGACACAUUGUUAUGAUUCACUGAUACAAAGCAGUAGAUUUUCAAUGCUUUGAAGGUUAAAGUAGCUUCUGGACUGUUUACAGGUUUUUGAGUCGACAGUGUUCAGAUAUAAACCUUCUGCCUUUGUCCUGUGUCUGACCAGAGACAGUGGCUUGUAGGAGCUGCAUCUCACUUCUGAAAAAGGCUUUUAUUUCUUUCCCACCUGUGUAACAACCUGCUAACCCAGCUGGCGCAAGCAGAAUUCUGAACUUGCAUCUUUCCAGCUGUUAUAAUGUCAGUGCAUUUGAACAAGAGGUGAGAACAACUGACCAUUUUGUUUGCACACGGUAGUAGUGGUGGUAAAGGUCUAUGAGCCACUAAAUGAACUCUCUUCUCUUCCUGAAUAAUUGAUCUCUGAGCCUCACCAGUGUCCCACAUUUAAUUUAGUAAAUGUUAAGUUGGAGAACGGUGUAGCUGUCAGAUGAUAGGGAGGGGAAACUGAGAGGAUGCCAAUUAAUAUUUGAUUGACCGUGAUCACCAGCAGCCAGUUGGCUGUUCCUUUUCACUGUAAAAUGUCUAAAAAGGUUCAAAUAUGGUGCAACUACCUCUCAGACAACAUGGCAUGGUCGUAGGAAUGCUGUCCUGUCUGUGUGUGUCCAGGUUGAACAGGCUUGUCACCGUGUCUCCAGAGCGGUGCUCUCAGCCGCCUGCGACAUAGUUGGAUUAGGUCUGAUUCUUUCCCAGUCCCCGACUGGGCCAAGAAUCCUUAUUGUUAUGUGAUCUUUGACAUGCACCCAGUGUGGUUUUGCCUGAACGGAACAGGACGGGGUGGGGGGAGGGGCACACCUUUAAGGGUACACCCUACUGUGCCAUUUAAUGACUAAAUUAGAUGCCACAUUAAAAAUCACAGCUGGCUUGAAGGUUUUCCCCUUUUCAGUGAUGACCAUAGGUAUAGGAAAACCUUCUGAAGCAUUUCAAACAUGGUAAAUGAAGCAGGUUUUAAAAAACAAAAUAGGUUUUUAAAUUCCUGUAUUAGCAUAUUUGUUACUGCAGAUAUGUUUUGAUAAACACUAUGUUUGGAGUAACUUUGUUUGCAAGCUUUGUAACUGAACUGGAUUCAGCUUCUGUCUGAUUAUCUUGAGCCCUAGUGGGUGAUAAGGUCAGGAGCUGAGGUACUGUAAUCCCAUGCACAGCCAGAGGCAACGUAGACUACUCAUCCAUCCAAAUGAGUGCCGAGGCAAAACAGGAUUCUCAAAUGUACCACAAUAUAAAACACUAACAUAGCAGAGAUGUGUAGAUAUAGAAUCUUCUUGCACACAUAAUUGUGAGGAACACGUUUCACAUCGCAGAUCUUUGGGCUUGCUAGGUGGUGAUACUCCUGUUGUAGA